GACGAACGCUGGCGGCGUGCUUAAUACAUGCAAGUCGAACGAACAGGCCCUGCUUUUGUUGGGUGCUCGAGUGGCGAACGGGUGAGUAACACAUGAGUAAACUGCCCUUGACUUUGGGAUAACUUUUGGGAACUCGGGCGAAUAUCCGAGAUAAUCUCUUGCUGCAUGUUGGUGGUUGGUUAAUUUCGGCUGUUCUGGCUGGUUUCGAGGCUUAUGGGCUUGUUGGUGGGGUAGUGGCGUACCAAGGCUUUGACGGCUAGCCGGCCUGAGAGGGUUACCGGCCACAUUGCGACUACGAGACGGCGCAGAAUCCAACGUGAGGCAACAGUGGGGAACAUUGCAGAAUGACCGGAAGCCUGAUGCGGAGGCGUCGCGUGCGGGAUGACUGCCUUUGAGUUAAAAACCGCUGUAUAAUGAAAUGAAGAGGGAGUGACGGUAAUUAGUAAGGAAGCCACGGCUAACUACGUG
rnacentral:rRNA from 1 species